GAUGAACGCUGGCGGCGUGCCUAAUACAUGCAAGUCGAGCGAACAGACGAGGAGCUUGCUCCUCUGACGUUAGCGGCGGACGGGUGAGUAACACGUGGAUAACCUACCUAUAAGACUGGGAUAACUUCGGGAAACCGGAGCUAAUACCGGAUAAUAUAUUGAACCGCAUGGUUCAAUAGUGAAAGACGGUUUUGCUGUCACUUAUAGAUGGAUCCGCGCCGCAUUAGCUAGUUGGUAAGGUAACGGCUUACCAAGGCAACGAUGCGUAGCCGACCUGAGAGGGUGAUCGGCCACACUGGAACUGAGACCAGGUCCAGAAUCCUAAGGGAGGCAGCAGUAGGGAAUCCUCCGCAAUGGGGGAAAGCCUGAAGGAGCAACGCCGCGUGAGUGAUGAAGGUUUUCGGAUCGUAAAACCCUGUUAUUAGGGAAGAACAAAUGUGUAAGUAACUAUGCACGUCUUGACGGUACCUAAUCAGAAAGCCACGGCUAACUACGUG
rnacentral:rRNA from 1 species